rnacentral:rRNA from 1 species
GAGGGUGGGUAGUCCAUACGAGCGCACCCUAUCCUUAGUUGCCAGCGAGUAUGUCGGGGACUCUAAGGAAACUGCCGGUGCAAACCGUGAGGAAGGUGGGGAUGACGUCAAAUCAUCACGGCCCUUACGUCCAGGGCUACACACGUGCUACAAUGGCGCAUACAAAGGGCAGCUACAUGGUGACAUGGUGCUAAUCUCUAAAGUGCGUCUCAGUUCGGAUCGAAGUCUGCAACUCGACUUCGUGAAGCUGGAAUCGCUAGUAAUCGUAUAUCAGCAAUGAUACGGUGAAUACGUUCCCGGGCCUUGUACACACCGCCCGUCAAGCCAUGGAAGUUGGGAGUGCCUGAAGUCGGUGACCGCAAGGAGCUGCCUAAGGUAAACUAGUAACUAGGGCUAAGUCGUAACAAGGUAGCCGUACCGGAAGGUGCGGCUGGAACACCUCCUUUUU